rnacentral:lncRNA from 1 species
GUACUGGUGUAGGUGUCGGGGAUACAGCAAUGAACAAAACCAAGGCUCUGCUCUUGUGAUGCUUACAUUGUAGGGCAGGCUGACAGACAAUAAAUGGAUAAGCAAGGAAGUAUAUGAUGCCAGGAGGUUAUAAGUUCUAUGAAGAAAAAUAAAGCCCGGGAACAAAGUGAUGAAGAUUAUUUCAUUGUAUGGAGUGGGCAGGGAAGGACUCUCUGGGCUGAUUACAUCUGAGCAGAGACCUGAGUGAGGGGAGGGCGGAGGCAGAAAUCUGGAGCCAGAUAGAGGGAAGAGCAUGUGCCAAGAUCCUGGGGCAGGAUUGUGUGGCAGAUUUAAAGUACAGCAAGAGGAGCAUGCUGGUUACUGGAGAGCAAGCAGGGAGACCAACUAGGAGGCCACAGCCAUAAUCCAAGUGGGUGGCGCUGGUGGCUUAGAUCUGAAUGGCGGCAGUGGAGAUGAUGACAAGUGGUUCAGUUCCAGAUGUAUCUUGAAGAUGGAGCCAGUGAGACUUAUUCAUGAUUGGAUGUGGGCAGGGAGACAAGAGAGGAGUAAGGACGACUCCUGGGAGAAUGGAGUUGCAGAAGAGCAGGUUUGCUGGGGGCAGAACGAGAGCCCAGGUUGGGGCAAAAUUCGAGAUGCAUACUCAACAUCCAGGUGGAGAGGUCAAUGAGGCAGAGGAUUUGUGAGGCUCAAGUUCCAGAGGGGACGUCUGGGCAUGAGGAAGACCAGUCCACUCAACCUCUCAGACAUCUCUCAGGUCUCUGCACCCCCAGAGUCACCAUCCUGGACUCAGCUGCCACACUGCUGGCCUGAAACCACAGUGACCUCCCGGCUGCUCCCUCACAUCCACUCUUGCCCCAGUUGACCAUUCACUCCACAGCAGCCUGAGUAAUCCCUUUAAGAUAUAAACGGGAUUAUACCCUCUGCUGCUUCAGACAUCCUAAGAGCUGCUCACUGCGUUUAGAAUAAAAUCUCAUCUUCCUGCCCUGGCCUGGAAGGCCCUGCAUGAGCUAGCCUCAGCCCACCUCUGCAAUUCAGUCUGGAAGCACUGUCCCCUUUGGUCACUCCAUUCUAGCCUGACCUCCUCUCCCGACUUCCAAUGCACUGAGGACCGUCCUGCCCUGGAGCCUGGUACUUGCUGUUUAUAGGAUGUCUGCCGGGCUCUCCCCGCCAUUGGCUGCUUUUCACGGAUCAGGUCUCGGCUCAAGUGUUGUCUCCUCGGGACGUCUCUGCCAUCCUCUCGAAGGUAGCUGGGUCGCAUCACCCUGCUCAUUUCCUCCUUGGCACAGCCACUCUUUAAUGAUCUUCUUUAUUAGUUCGUUCAUUGAUUGAUGUGGCCCCAUGAAGGCAGGGACGUGUUGUCCACCAUGGCAUUUCCAGAAAACAUCACAGCAACUGUCACAUAGUAAGAACUUGAGAAAUGUCAGAUGAACAAAUGGGUGGCCUCAUGCCUUUGACUCUGUCUCUAUAUAUUUGAACUUCUUGAAAUAUGUCAUUAAUGAGGAUGAUUGUAUUUCUUCUAAACUGGACAGUCACAUAUAUGAUUAGACACACAUGCUGGUCACCCUUGCUCUUCCCAGGCAAGACCCAGGCCCAACUGCCCAGGGCAUGAGCCUCUCUGUUAAGCAGUUGCACACGCCUGUUGCAAUAUCAUAAUAGGAUACUACAGAGAGAAGUGGUGCUUAUUAUAAGCUUGAAUCUUUUCAUUUGACUUACACUCACAAUGACGAAGGGAAUAAUUGUUAUCUUAGUAACUUAGACUGAAACAAAUAGUCCUCCUUAUUGUUCAAACCUCAGCAGAAUGCCUGACACCUACUAGACACUCAAUAACUAUUUGUUGGGUGGAUGAAUGAAUCAAAUUCUUGAAUCUAAGAGUACCCUGAGAUUUCCAGGUGAGCUCUUUAAGCCACUUAUCCUUGCAAACCCAGAUUCUUCUCAAACCUGAGCAAGCAAAGGUAACACAGAAAUAAAUUGGAUGCUGAGACUUAAAUGAUUACAACUUUGCUUUUUGUGUUUGUGUUCAUAAAAGCCGCCUCAGGGCUGUCAUCA